GCCAGCGUGGCCGAGUGGUUUGAGCGCUGGACUCUGACUCUGGAGAGCCGGGUUCGAAUCCCGCCUCGGUCA